GUUUACUAUUAGAGGUCUUCUUUUUUCUUCCACCCCAAAAAAAGGCCAAAUAAAAGUCCAUAUUGUCGAGUCACAGCUAUUAAACUAAAAAAAUGCAGAUCACAAAAAAAUAAAAAAAAUUGGCAUUGACUGAACUGGCAGGGCAAUUUUAGUCAGAGUUCUCUAACAGGUAUAUCUUGGGAUAUACCUGGCAAUCUCGAGAUUUACCUGUCAGAGCACUCUGAUUG